UACAGAGGGGGCAAGCGUUAUUCGGAAUUAUUGGGCGUAAAGGGCGCGUAGGCGGCUUUGCAAGUGACGGGUGAAAUCCCUCGGCUUAACCGAGGGACUGCCUGUCAAACUGCAUGGCUUGAGACCGGGAGAGGUGAGUGGAAUUCCCAGUGUAGCGGUGAAAUGCGUAGAUAUUGGGAGGAACACCAGUGGCGAAGGCGGCUCACUGGACCGGUACUGACGCUGAUGCGCGAAAGCGUGGGGAGCAAACAGG
rnacentral:rRNA from 1 species